rnacentral:rRNA from 1 species
UACGUAGGAGGCGAGCGUUAUCCGGAGUUACUGGGCGUAAAGGGCGUGUAGGCGGUUGGUUAAGUCUGGCGUGAAAGCUCUCGGCUAAACCGGGAGAGGUCGUUGGAUACUGGCCGACUAGAGGACGGUAGAGGCGUGUGGAAUUCCGGGUGUAGUGGUGAAAUGCGUAGAGAUCCGGAGGAACACCAGUGGCGAAGGCGACACGCUGGGCCGUACCUGACGCUAAAGCGCGACAGCAUGGGGAGCAAACGGG